UAGGGAAUCUUCGGCAAUGGACGGAAGUCUGACCGAGCAACGCCGCGUGAGUGAAGAAGGUUUUCGGAUCGUAAAGCUCUGUUGUUAGAGAAGAACGUUGGUAGGAGUGGAAAAUCUACCAAGUGACGGUAACUAACCAGAAAGGGACGGCUAACUACGUGCCAGCAGCCGCGGUAAUACGUAGGUCCCGAGCGUUGUCCGGAUUUAUUGGGCGUAAAGCGAGCGCAGGCGGUUCUUUAAGUCUGAAGUUAAAGGCAGUGGCUUAACCAUUGUAGGCUUUGGAAACUGGAGGACUUGAGUGCAGAAGGGGAGAGUGGAAUUCCAUGUGUAGCGGUGAAAUGCGUAGAUAUAUGGAGGAACACCGGUGGCGAAAGCGGCUCUCUGGUCUGUAACUGACGCUGAGGCUCGAAAGCGUGGGGAGCAAACAGG
rnacentral:rRNA from 1 species